rnacentral:tRNA from 1 species
GAGGGUAGAGCUCACUGGCAGAGUGUGUGCUUGGCGUGCAUGAGGUCCUGAGUUCAAUCCCCAGUGCCUCUG